rnacentral:misc_RNA from 1 species
GUGAAUCAUCGAAUCUUUGAACGCACCUUGCGCUCCUUGGUAUUCCGAGGAGCAUGCCUGUUUGAGUGUCAUUGAAACCUCAAACCUCAAAGCGUGCGUGCAUGCUCUGGGGCUUUGGAUGGUGAGGGUGUGCUGGUGGGUGUGUAUGCCGUGCUGGCUCCCUUGAAAAGUGUUAGCUAGGUCUCGCUGCUGGGGUGGCGUCGGUAUGAUAGCUCUGAUCUGUGCCGUCGUUGCCUGCCUUGGACCUGCUCCCAGUUGUCCCUCUGUCGAGGGGACUGCUCAUGGCUGAGCACUUUUGCAGCUUGACCUCAAAUCAGGUAGGACUACCCACUGAACUUAA